rnacentral:lncRNA from 1 species
GCUUCUGCACUGCGCACAUGACUACGUCACUCCCACGUGACGGCCAACAUGCCUUGACCUUGGUCGGGAUGUGUCAAGUAUGCUUCAUUUUCAUGAUCCCUAUAAUUCCAUGUUAAAUGUUGACCUUGCAUGUAUUUAUGAGUGCAUUUUGCUCUCCACCCUUUAGUGUGGUGUAUGCUCACCAACUUAUUUAUCACCGUUAGAUGAAUUUGAAUUUUGAGAUUU